GCCGUCGCCGGAUCUUCAGGAACCGCCACGGCUACAUCUUCCACGGUCUCUACCACCGGAACUUCUUCUAGCGCCUACGCUCCCAUGGCCGUCGUCGACGCAGCGUCUUCAACGGCCGCCGCGGACGUCGCUCCAAUGAGCACGGCAACAACCGCCGGCACUACUUCGGUGGCGCGCCCAGGCAGUUCCGGACCUUGGCAUCCUUCGCCGUCCAGGGGGAG
rnacentral:lncRNA from 1 species